rnacentral:rRNA from 1 species
CUCAGUACAAGCCGAACUAAGGCGAAACCGCAAACGGCUCAUUAAAUCAGUUUUAGUUCACUUGAGCGAAAACAUCCGUUUUUGGAUAACUGUGGCAAUUCUAGAGCUAAUACAUGCAACCAAGUCCCGACCAGUGAUGGAAAGGACGCUUUUAUUAGAUCAAAAUCAAUCGGGGUAGGCCGAGCCUCUCCGUUUGUUUUGAUGACUCUGAAUAACACACCAGAUCGCACGGUCCUAGUACCGGCGACUCAUCUUUCAAAUGCCUGACUUAUCAACUGUCGAUGGUAGAUUCUAUGUCUACCAUGGUUGUAACGGGUGACGGGGAAUCAGGGUUCGAUUCCGGAGAGGGAGCCUGAGAAACGGCUACCACAUCCAAGGAAGGCAGCAGGCACGCAAAUUACCCACUCCCGGCACGGGGAGGUAGUGACAAAAAAUAACGAUACGGGACUCAUCCGAGGCCCCGUAAUCGGAAUGAGAACACUCUAAAUCAUUUAACAAGGACCUAUUGGAGGGCAAGUCUGGUGCCAGCAGCCGCGGUAAUUCCAGCUCCAAUAGCGUAUAUUAAAGUUGUUGCGGUUAAAAAGCUCGUAGUUGGUUCUGCGUCCCACGCUGUCGGUUCACCGCCUGUCGGUGCAACUGGCACGCCGUGGGAUGUCCUGUCGGUGGUGGCCGCGGCUCGCGGGGUUGGCCGAGGCUCCUUGUGGAGCUACAAGCCUUCCCCCGAGUAACGGUCGCCGAACUAAUCCUGCCGCGGUGCUCUUAACUGAGUGUCGAGGUAGGCCGACACGUUUACUUUGAACAAAUUAGAGUGCUCAAAGCAGGCUGAAUUCCGCCUGAAUAGUGGUGCAUGGAAUAAUUGAAUAGGACCUCGGUUCUAUUUUGUUGGUUUUCGGAAUCCGAGGUAAUGAUCAAUAUGGACAGGCGGGGGCAUUCGUAUUGCGGCGUUAGAGGUGAAAUUCUUGGAUCGUCGCAAGACGGACUAGAGCGAAAGCAUUUGCCAAGUAUGUCUUAGUUGAUCAAGAACGA